AAGGCUCUUCCUGAGAGGGAGUGUUGUGUAUCAGCAGUUCGAUCACCGGAAUUUGUGGCUCCAUUGUGAAGAUUAUCUAUGCCAUUGGGUAAUUUCACUGCCUUAUCUCGCUCAUUAGGAAAAUCCAUGUGAGGGUACUGAUUGCUCCACUGUCUACAGUAUCUAGGAUCUGAAGUAGAAGUCUACCUAAUUUGAACAUCUAUCUCAUCCCAGGCAAGGGAAUCACAGGAAUCUGAGUUCAUUCACAAAGCCUUCCAGCCAUACUGUGAUUGCUGUCAGUUGAAUGCUUUUAUAGUUAGCAUUUCUCCAGCAGAGCAUUCUCUGGUUCAACAACUGCUGAAGCAAAUGGGAACAUUCACAGUGGCUGCAGUGGGAUCAAGAUCAUGUCCUUGUUGAUCACUGUCUGUAGACCUAAUGGACUCUGCUACCAAACUCUCUCUUGUAAAUGAGCGCCCUUAUGGAUGUGUUGGCCCUUUGGCUCAGGAAUCAAGUGUGUUUGCCUUUAUCACUCUCUUCAGUGAUGUGAAAGCUGGUGAUUAUGUAGCUAGGAGCAUAACUAAAGUUUUUUAAAGCAGUAUUUAAGUCUUGUCCCUUUGGCCCUUACAGUAAAUAAGCAAUGCAAUGACAUAGGACUGUGUGUCUGACAAGGGAGAGAGAGGCAUUUCUUUAUUGUUACCACUGGCAUAGCUGGAGUGAGUUUUCUAAAGGCUUACGUUCACUUUUGACACUAUGUUGGUAUAUAAAAGGGAGAGAGUUUCCAGUGAGUGUCUAGUAUUUAACUCAUUUUCAUCUGAUGUCAAGGUGUGUGUUCACAUUAAGUGCUCAUAAUGUCAGACAAAAGUACUGACCUGUCUGUGCUCUAGGAAGGAGGUAGAAAAGGCACUCUGCGAAGUGUCUGAAUCUGAAAAGAUUUGAAUUGCUUUUCAGAGUCCAUUGUUUCUCUCUCUUUGUCUAAAUAAGGUUUGAAGAAAAACAGUGCUCUUUUUUAACUGUCUAGUAGGUGCCUAAAAGUAGAUGUAGUUCCAGAAGGAAAUCGUGGAAGAACUCAUCAUGACAUUAUGCCUCAGGCAUCACAGAACAUCCUCAUAGGAAAUUUGCCUGAAAAACUUAAUUGCAAUCCAAGCUACUUACAAACUGCCAGCCAUCCAUCUCACUGAAAGUUUAUUAGGAUGAAUUGUUUGUUGCUGCUAUUUUGCAUGCCUUCCACUGGGAAUAACACUGCAUGGGAAAGAUCUUGACCGCAUUAACUUUUUCUCUCAGUGAGCAUUCCUUUCAAGUAUUGAACUUCUGAGAGUAUUGAUUGUCUCUGUCAGAUCACUCCAUGCCUUACUGUUCUUAAAAAUUCUCAAUAAGUUAAAAAGAAGUGAAACUCAAAUUACAGAUCAUUUGUAAGCAUACUGGAAUCUAUAUCCUAUUUUGCAAUGUGGAAUAUAUUGGUUUUGCCUUUGUGAGCUUUGAUUUUUUUCAGCCAUCCAUGAAUCCCUGUGGUUUACUUUCU